UACGGUCAUAUCACGUUGAAACACCGCUUCCCGUACGAUCAUCGAAGUUAAGCAACGUUGAGUCUGGUCAAUAUCUAGAUGCUUGACUGCUUGGGAAUACCAGGUGCUGUAA